CGUGGUUGAAUCUUUAUUUAUGCAUUGACAUGUUUCUUAAACAAGGGAUAUUGACGUUCAAGAUCCAAUUUGGCCUCAAUUCAACGCUUCGUGUUAUUGGCACCGCCAUGUCGAACAAAAUUGUUGUGGUGCUGCUCAUGUUUGUCAUGCCAUAUUGAAGGGUCAUGUACUUACUAUGUGUAUUAUCGGAAGUAGAUCAACC
rnacentral:lncRNA from 1 species